GGGCAAACCCGAGCUCCUCCCCUUUGCGGAAGAUCAUGUGGUCUCGGGCAGGUGAUGUCCCUGGGUCUCAGUUUCCUCAUCUGUGAAAUGGCUGGAACCUCGCCAAGCUCAGGCUGGACACCUGGAUUCUCCCGAGGAGGCCAGGCCCCCAGCAUCCACCUGACGAGGGGCUGAGGGGCUCCUGGUGCAGAGCCCCGCCUAGCCCCAGCUGGCAUCCUCCUAACCCCCGCCACCCACGCUGCCCGCUGCCCGGCCCAGCCUGGGGAGUUAGGAGGCAGCACUGAGCCGUAUUUAUAGUUCCCUGGCGCUGCUAAGCAAACUUCUAAAUAUAGACGCCGAGCUAUUUGGGGCCUCGGCCCUGGGGUGGAGUGGGAGUGGAGGGCACCGCACGUGUGCCUCCCUGGCCUGGGCCCUUGAGACUGCUUGGGCCUCUCAGUCUCCUGGGGCUGAGGCUGCGGGAAGGGGGGUGAUGGGGGGCAAUUUGUCUGAAUGGGGGUACACAGAGAGAGCCGCAGUGGAGUUGCCCAAAGCCACAGCAGAGGGGAACUGCCCGAAAGGGGUGCAGGCGCAUUCCAGGCCCACGAGGAGGGCACACAUUUGUGCCUGGUGUCCCCAACAUCCCGUUCCUCCACUUCUUUCACCCCAAGAUCCACUAGGGUAGGGAAAGUGGACUGAGGUAUCACCACAAUGUUCUCAGCUUCUAGGAAAUAAAGGUCCCCAGGAAGUUGCAGGGACAGCCCUGAACCCCAAACAAACCCCAGCUCCUAGCAACCCACUUCCCCUUCCCCAUCAGUGUUGAUCUCACUGGUGGCUGGGGGUUGUGGGGUGGUGACAGGGCUGGGGGGGGUGGGGCUAUAAAUAGCCGGUUUAUAAGCAGCUGCAGAGCUGGCUGGGGCAGAGGGUGGCCCUGGAGGCCAGAGGGCUUCUGACGGACAGCUGGACCCCAGAGUGUCAUGGCCUCCCAGCAGUCGUCAAGAUUUGGGGAAGUAAGGGGGAUGCGAGGGACAAGAUGCUUAAAACAAACAGGGUCAAUGAUUCUUUAAAGCAGCACCUUAAGCCGGUGGCCAUUGAGACUUGAGUGAAAUCUUAGUGCUUCCUCAGCUCUGGGCUCACGGGAACAUCAUACAGUCAGUGAAAAAGAAGGCCUGGGACGUGCCACAGAGCGGCUGGCCCUUGGCCACA